CCCGCUUGUCCCCGGUCUCCUCCGGUUCCCCCGGCCUGGCCUUGGCCCCGCGGGCUCCGCGGCCCUCCCGGGGCCGCCGCGUGGCACCCGGCUCCGGUGAAACGGCGGAAACGAAACCAACGAGCGGCCCCGGCCCGGCCCCGGCGGGGCAGCGGGAGCAGCGGGGCGGGCUGGGCGGCGGGGCCCGGCUCCCGCUCCCGGGGCUCCGAUUUCGGGAGGGAGGCGCAGGUCCGACCCGGCCACCACUGCCCGGCCCGGCCUUCUACACACCCACCGCUGUAUAGAGAGAAUGCACAGAAUAUAUAGGAUAUGCAUAAUAUACACAAUGUAUAGGAUAUACACAAUAUACACAAUGUACACAAUACACACAAUAUAUGGAAUAUAUGGAAUAUACACAAUAUAUGGAAUAUAUGGAAUAUAGGGAAUAUCCUGCUGGAAGGAACGGCGGCGCCUGCGGAAAUGCCAACCCGCCAGCACCGGGGGCUCCCCGGGAGCAGCGGAGCUCUCUGCCCGCACCGGGCACCCCUAGGCCUGGCCGGCCCUUGGCCGGAGCCCCCCAAACUGCCGCCGGCGGCCGCAGCAUCGCGGGGAGCGAACGGAGCCUCCUCCCGCCGCCACCGGGCACCGGGGAUCGGGCACCGGCCCCGCCGCUCUCCGUGGUGCUGAACGGCGGCCGCGCCGCGCCCCGGGGGCCGGGGGCACCCCGGGGCACCCCCGAGCCCGGUUCGGGACGUGUCGCAAUGGGCGGUACCGGACCUGCAGGCAGGGCUGGGAUGUGCGGCUCCGGCAGCUCCCGGCGCUCCCGCCGCUGCCCUCCCGGUCCCGCCGGCCGUUCCCGUGUCCCGGUGCCGGGAUCCGCCGCGUCCCCCCCGCCGCCACCUCCGCCACCCCGGCCCGGCCGCCCCCGGCCCCUCCCCGGGGCUCACCUCGCCCUGACAUUUCCUGGCGCUCCUUCCAUGCCAGCGGGUUGCCAUAGCAAAUCUAAAUCUUGCAAACAAAACCAGGGGAGGGAGGGAAAAAAAAAGAAAAAAAAAAAAAAAGCAAAAAAAGCAGCCUGAUUAGCAUAUAUUCAAAUGAGGCGUGCAAUAAUGCAAACCAUAAAUCAUGCAGUCAUUGCUAUUCAAUCAGUGUCUCUUACCCCAGCCCCCACUCUGCACCCGCUGGGUCGCCUCCCCUCCUGCCACAAGCCCCGGCCCGGGCCCGAAGGUGGCCCUGGGGGGACCUGCCACCCUCCGGAGGGGACCUGCCACCCUCUGGGGGUGGCCCCGGCCCGGCCGGGCCCCGGGGCUCGGGCAGCCCCCUAAUCCCGCCCGGUAUUUACGGCGCUCCGUUAAACCCGGCCAGCUCCUCCCGGAUUAAUCUCCCGCCCGGGUUUUAAUCCCGGGGCUGUGAUCCCCCCCAGCCCCAGCCCCGGCCCCGGCCGGGGGAAGGGGCCCAGCUCGGCCCCGGAGCGCGGGGGGGACCCCCAGCCCUGCCCGAUCCCGAGCUGGGGGUGCCCAAGCGGAGUUGGGGGCACCCGAGCCCCCCCAGAAUGUCCCUGGGGGUGGUGGCGCGGCAGGGCCCUGCUGUCCCUCCCGGUCACCUCGGCAGCGUGGCCGUGGCCGUGGCCGUGGCCGUGGCCGUGGCCGUGGCCGUACCCAGCGCACCACCGGCCCCAGGGGAUGUUCCCGACCCCCAAAACUCGGCAGGACCCCCAAACCCAGCCCAGUCCCGAGCUAAAACAGGCCCGGCUCAGCUGGGCCGGGUUUAACCCCCUCCCUGCCCCCCAAAUCCCACUUUGAAGGGGUUUUCCCUUCUCCC
ensembl:lncRNA